rnacentral:rRNA from 1 species
CUACGGGGUGCAGCAGUGAGGAAUUUUGCGCAAUGGGGGGAACCCUGACGCAGCAACGCCGUGUGAGUGAAGAAGGCCUUUGGGUCGUAAGGCUCUGUCAACUGGGAAGAAGUUACUGUGCUUUAAUAGAGUGCAGUAUUGACGGUACCAGUGGAGGAAGCGUCGGCUAACUCCGUGCCAGCAGCCGCGGUAACACGGGGGACGCAAGCGUUAUUCGGAAUUAUUGGGCGUAAAGGGCGCGUAGGCGGUCUUGUCGGUCAGGUGUGAAAGCCCGGGGCUCAACCCCGGACGUGCACUUGAAACAGCAAGACUUGAGUACGGGAGAGGAAAGCGGAAUUCCUGGUGUAGAGGUGAAAUUCGUAGAUAUCAGGAGGAACACCGAUGGCGAAGGCAGCUUUCUGGACCGAAACUGACGCUGAGGCGCGAAGGCGUGGGUAGCGAACGGGAUUAGAUACCCUUGUAGUC